AACGCACAUGGCGCCUUCCAGUAUCCUGGGAGGCAUGCCUGUCCGAGCGUCGUUUCAACCCUCGAGCCCCCGUGGCCCGGCGUUGGGGAUCCGCCCAGGCGGUCCCCGAAAACCAGUGGCGGACCUUCCAGGCCCUUCUUUGCGUAGUAGCAUCAGCCUCGCAUCGGGAGCCGGCAGGAUUCCAGCCUCUAAACCCCCCCUAAAGUCCGCUCCGGCGGCACCAAGGUUGACCUCGGAUCAGGUAGGAAUACCCGCUGAACUUAA
rnacentral:misc_RNA from 1 species